UACAAGUCCCUGGAGUUGGCAGAACCACAAGAAAGAACGUGCAGGGAUGAAGGAGAGCUGCCCAUUGACCUGGAACACCCACUCUGGAUUAUUUUGUGAGCAAGAGCUAUUUGAAUCCUGGAACACUGUGGGGAGUGAGGGGUAAUUUCAGAAGUACUGAUAAAAAGGAAGUAAAAGGGAAGUCUACCAUUUUCCAGCCCUGGAAAUGGCAGAAAGGAGAAAAGAGACAGUAAAAAAGAUGUGUGUCC